UACGUAGGUGGCAAGCGUUGUCCGGAUUUACUGGGCGUAAAGAGCGCGCAGGCGGUCGUGCAAGUCGCGUGUGAAAGCCCCCGGCUCAACUGGGGAGGGUCACGCGAUACUGCUCGACUCGAAGGCAGGAGAGGGAAGUGGAAUUCCCGGUGUAGUGGUGAAAUGCGUAGAUAUCGGGAGGAACACCAGUGGCGAAGCCGACUUCCUGGCCUGUUCUUGACGCUGAGGCGCGAAAGCUAGGGUAGCAAACGGG
rnacentral:rRNA from 1 species